rnacentral:rRNA from 1 species
UACGAAGGGUGCAAGCGUUACUCGGAAUUACUGGGCGUAAAGCGUGCGUAGGUGGUGAGUUAAGUCUGUCGUGAAAGCCCCGGGCUCAACCUGGGAAUGGCGAUGGAUACUGGCAAGCUAGAGUGCGGUAGAGGAUGGUGGAAUUCCCGGUGUAGCGGUGAAAUGCGUAGAGAUCGGGAGGAACACCCGUGGCGAAGGCGGCCAUCUGGACCAGCACUGACGCUGAGGCACGAAAGCGUGGGGAGCAAACAGG